GGGGCGGUGGCGAAAUGGCAGACGCGACGGACUUAAAAUCCGUUGGAGGCGACUCCGUGUGGGUUCGAGUCCCACCCGCCCUA
rnacentral:tRNA from 1 species